AUUGAACGCUGGCGGCAUGCCUAACACAUGCAAGUCGAACGAGUGGCGGACGGGUGAGUAACAUCUCGGAACGUGCCUAAUAGAGGGGGAUAACUAAUGGAAACAGUAGCUAAUACCGCAUACCAUCAGAUCUGCCCAUAUGGGAUUAGCUUGUGGGUGGGGUAACGGCUCACCAAGGCGACGAUCCGUAGCUGGUCUGAGCGGAUGACCAGCCACACUGGAACGGAGACACGGUCCAGACUCCUACGGGAGGCAGCAGUGGGGAAUUUUGGACAAUGGGCGAAAGCCUGAUCCAGCCAUGCCGCGUGUCUGAAGAAGGUCUUCGGGUUGUAAAGCACUUUAGUCUGGGAGGCGGUACCAACAGAAUAAGCACCGGCUAACUUCGUGCCAGCAGCCGCGGUAAUUC
rnacentral:rRNA from 1 species